rnacentral:sRNA from 1 species
UAUUCUGCCCCAUGGGGAAGGAUGAGAAGCUUCGACUAAGGUUCGACUCGAGCGCCAGCGAGAGAACGUUGCCACAGGCAACGGCCCGAAGGGCGAGGCGCUUUAGCGCCGAGUAAUCCUUCCCCACCACCA